AACCUACGGGAGGCAGCAGUAGGGAAUCUUCCACAAUGGACGAAAGUCUGAUGGAGCAACGCCGCGUGAGUGAAGAAGGGUUUCGGCUCGUAAAGCUCUGUUGGUAGUGAAGAAAGAUAGAGGUAGUAACUGGCCUUUAUUUGACGGUAAUUACUUAGAAAGUCACGGCUAACUACGUGCCAGCAGCCGCGGUAAUACGUAGGUGGCAAGCGUUGUCCGGAUUUAUUGGGCGUAAAGCGAGGGCAGGCGGUUCAAUAAGUCUGAUGUGUAAACCCUCGGGCCAAACG
rnacentral:rRNA from 1 species